GAUGAACGCUGGCGGUGUGCCUAACACAUGCAAGUCGAGCGAAAACACGAUGAGCUUUUUCCUUCGCGGUUAGCGGCGGACGGGCGAGUAAGACGUACGUAACCUACUUCUAUUUCUGGGAUGACUUCGUGAGACCGCAUCCACUACUGGCUCAUAUUACCUACCGCUGGGUUCGAUGGUUAUUGAUAGCUUUGCUAUUACUUUGAGAUGAUCCCGCGCCGGAUUAGCUAGUUGGUAAGGUAACGGCUUACCAAGGCAACGAUACGUAGCUGACCUGAGAGGGUGAUCGGCCACACUGGAACUGAGACACGGUCCAGACUCCUACGGGAGGCAGCAGUAGGGAAUAUUCGGCAAUGGGCGAAAGCCUGACGGAGCAACGCCGCGUGAGUGAAGAAGGUCUUCGGAUCGUAAAGCUCUGUUAUUAGGAAAGAACAGACGUGUGAGUAACUGUGCCCGUCUUGACGGUACCUAAUCAAAAAGCAACGGCUAACUACGUG
rnacentral:rRNA from 1 species